UACGAGGGGUGCUAGCGUUGUUCGGAAUCAUUGGGCGUAAAGAGUAUGUAGGCGGUCAAAUAAGUCAGUUGUGAAAUCCCCGGGCUCAACCCGGGAAGUGCAAUUGAUACUGUUUGGCUUGAGUAUGGAAGAGGGUAGUGGAAUUCCAGGUGUAGUGGUGAAAUACGUAGAUAUCUGGAGGAAUACCGGUGGCGAAGGCGGCUACCUGGUCCUAUACUGACGCUGAGAUACGAAAGCAUGGGUAGCAAACAGG
rnacentral:rRNA from 1 species